rnacentral:sRNA from 1 species
CCGGGGGCAGGAGGUUCGACCCGAGCGAAGCGAGAGAACGUUGCGUCAGCAACGGCCCGCAGGGCGAGCCACGCAGUGGCGAGUCAUCCUCUAUCACCGACCA